rnacentral:rRNA from 1 species
GACGAACGCUGGCGGCGUGCCUGACACAUGCAAGUCGUACGGUCCGUGAUUGAUCAAGCUUGCUUGAUUGGUCGUGGAUAGUGGCGGACGGGUGAGUAACGCGUGAACACCUACCCAUUGGAGGGGUACAACCCGUCGAAAGGCGGGCUAAUACCGCGUAAGCCGCGAGGUGAAAGGCUGCCUUUUGGUGGCUGCCGAUGGAUGGGUUCGCGUCCUAUCAGCUUGUUGGUGGGGUAAUGGCCUACCAAGGCGAAGACGGGUAGCCGGUCUGAGAGGAUGGCCGGCCACACUGGAACUGAGACACGGUCCAGACUCCUACGGGAGGCAGCAGUGGGGAAUAUUGCACAAAUGGGCGAAAGCCUGAUGCAGCAACGCCGCGUGAGUGAUGAAGGCCUUAGGGUUGUAAAGCUCUUUUACCAGGGAUGAUAAUGACAGUACCUGGAGAAUAAAGCUCCGGCUAACUCCGUGCCAGCAGCCGCGGUAAUCUCGUCUCUAC